rnacentral:rRNA from 1 species
UACAGAGGGUGCGAGCGUUAAUCGGAAUUACUGGGCGUAAAGCGUGCGUAGACGGUAGCGUAAGUCAGAUGUGAAAGCCCCGGGCUCAACCUGGGAACUGCAUUUGAGACUGCUCUGCUCGGGUGCGGAAGAGGGAAGCGGAAUUUCCGGUGUAGCGGUGAAAUGCGUAGAUAUCGGAAGGAACACCAGUGGCGGAAGCGGCUUCCUGGUCCGACACCGACGUUCAGGCACGAAAGCGUGGGGAGCAAACAGG